rnacentral:rRNA from 1 species
UACAGAGGGGGCAAGCGUUAUUCGGAAUUAUUGGGCGUAAAGGGCGCGUAGGCGGCUUGACAAGUGGAAGGUGAAAUCCCUCGGCUCAACUGAGGAACUGUUCUCCAAACUGUUUGGCUUGAGACCGGGAGAGGUGAGUGGAAUUCUCAGUGUAGCGGUGAAAUGCGUAGAUAUUGGGAGGAACACCAGUGGCGAAGGCGGCUCACUGGACCGGAACUGACGCUGAGGCGCGAAAGCGUGGGGAGCAAACGGG